rnacentral:rRNA from 1 species
UGGGGAAUAUUGGACAAUGGGCGAAAGCCUGAUCCAGCGACGCCGCGUGAGUGAUGAAGGCCUUCGGGUUGUAAAGCUCUGUUGAGGGAGAAGAAAACAGUUAGAACUAAUAUGUCUAGCUCUUGACGGUAUCCCUUUAGAAAGCACCGGCUAACUCUGUGCAAGCAGCCGCGGUAAUACAGAGGGGGCAAGCGUUGUUCGGAAUUACUGGGCGUAAAGGGCACGUAGGCGGCGAUUUAAGUCAGAGGUGAAAGCCCGGGGCUCAACCCCGGAACUGCCUUUGAGACUGGAUUGCUUGAACAUCGGAGAGGUGAGUGGAAUUCCGAGUGUAGAGGUGAAAUUCGUAGAUAUUCGGAAGAACACCAGUGGCGAAGGCGACUCACUGGACAUGUAUUGACGCUGAGGUGCGAAAGCGUGGGGAGCAAA